GGGGGUAUGGUGUAAUGGAUAGCAUCUGGGGCUUCGGAUCUCAGGAUCCCGGUUCGACUCCGGGUACCCCUGCCA
rnacentral:tRNA from 1 species